GACGAACGCUGGCGGCGUGCCUAACACAUGCAAGUCGAGCGAGGAACUUCGGUUCCUAGCGGCGGACGGGUGAGUAACACGUGGGUAACCUGGCUCAUAGAGGGGGAUAGCCUUCCGAAAGGGAGAUUAAUACCGCAUAAGAAGUAAGAAUCGCAUGGUUCAAGCUUUAAAGGAGUAAUCCGCUAUGAGAUGGGCCCGCGGCGCAUUAGCUAGUUGGUGAGGUAACGGCUCACCAAGGCGACGAUGCGUAGCCGACCUGAGAGGGUGAUCGGCCACAUUGGAACUGAGACACGGUCCAGACUCCUACGGGAGGCAGCAGUGGGGAAUAUUGCACAAUGGGCGAAAGCCUGAUGCGGCAACGCCGCGUGAGUGAUGACGGCCUUCGGGUUGUAAAGCUCUGUCUUUGGGGACGAUAAUGACGGUACCCAAGGAGGAAGCCACGGCUAACUACGUGCCAGCCGCCGCAGUAAUAC
rnacentral:rRNA from 1 species